rnacentral:tRNA from 1 species
GGGCGAAUGGCGGAACUGGUAGACGCGCACGACUCAAAAUCGUGUUUUGCAGGAAGUGAGAGUUCGAUUCUCUCUUCGCCCACCA